UACGUAGGCAGCAAGCGUUGUUCGGAGUUACUGGGCGUAAAGGGGGUGUAGGCGGUUCUUUAAGUUUGCUGUGAAAUCUCCCGGCUUAACCGGGAGGGUGCGGUGAAUACUGAGGGACUAGAGUACGGGAGAGGAAAGUGGAAUUCCUGGUGUAGCGGUGAAAUGCGUAGAUAUCAGGAGGAACACCGGUGGUGUAGACGGCUUUCUGGACCGUAACUGACGCUGAAACACGAAAGCGUGGGUAGCAAACAGG
rnacentral:rRNA from 1 species